CCUUCCUCUGGUGGGCGGAGCCGCGGCAUUAUUUGUUGAAGAGUGGGGGCUGCGGCGACGGUCGUCGGGUCGAGGGGGGA
rnacentral:tRNA from 1 species